CCCCGGAACGUAAACACUGGGGCGGGGGAGGCGGCGGCAGCGGCGGCGCGGGAGAGCCGCGCUUGGGGCGCCCUCCGCGCAGGACCGCGGCCGGUUCUCCCAGGCGCGCAUGUUGGCGAAGGAUGCUGGCUGGUCACGAGUGCGCUCGAGCACGCAGGCGCUGCAAGCUGCGCGUGUGCAUGCGGACGUACACGGAAGAGUCAGAUCCAUAUUGCCAGAGCCACCAUAGGGCAAGUUCUGUCUUCUAUGGAUCAUCUCGUGUCAGUUUGGAGGAGAGGGGUGAUUCCUUCCCCGUAAACACCCCCCUCAAUGCCCCACCCCCAAAGGAUGAGCAUCUGUGUGUAGGCAGAGGCUGAGCUGGAAACCAGGAAGUUCUUGACAUCUCACCUGUCAGGUGAUCUCAGGUAAUCUGCUCUCAACUGUGGCCCUCCUGUUUGCAACAUGGCAAAGGAAUGAAGGUGGUGGUGGUAGCCUACUCUGCAGGGUUGUUGUACGGAUUUGGGACAACUUCCAUUCUCAUAAAAUUUCAGCAGAGCUAAAGAACUUUUUUACAACCCCUUUAUCAAUGGUAUUUAAUGCCUUAUAAAUUGAAAUUAAUGUAUGAAUUAGUAUUUGAUAAAUGUUGGGAGAUUUGGAUUAAAUAAAGCAAAUCACAUACAUAUCGUUUGGAAUUCUGAAAUCGAACUAUUCUGGAAAUCUGUUCAAGCUUAUAUCUUUUUAUAUGUUAGGAUAUAGUAUCCCCUUGGAACCUUAAGAAUUUUUGCUUGGGUAUCUAACAUAUAUUAUUCUGGAAAAUGAUCAAUAAAUAGUGGUCAACCUUG